AGAGUUUGAUCAUGGCUCAGAAUGAACGUUGGCGGCGUGGAUUAGGCAUGCAAGUCGAACGGGCCGCAAGGCCAGUGGCGGAAGGGUGAGUAAGGCGACGGUAACCAACCCCAGGGUUGGGCAUAGCCGGGGGAAACCCCGGGUAAUUCCCAGCGACGCGGCGGCCUGGCAUCGGGCUGCCGCCAAAGAUUUAUCGCCCU
rnacentral:rRNA from 1 species